rnacentral:rRNA from 1 species
ACGGGGGGUGCGAGCGUUAAUCGGAAUCACUGGGCGUAAAGCGCACGUAGGCGGUUGCAUAAGUCUGUUGUGAAAGCCCUCGGCUCAACCGGGGAACUGCAGUAGAUACUGCGAUGCUGGAGUGCCGGAGAGGGAGGCAGAAUUCCAGGUGUAGCGGUGAAAUCCGUAGAGAUCAGGAGGAAUACCAGAGGCGAAGGCGGCCUUCCGACCCGUAAUUGACGCUCAAGUGCGAAGGUGUGGGGAUCAAACAG